CCAAGGCUAUAGCCCACCCGUUUUUGUGGGCUUUUUCCGCUGGACGAACUUGGCGCCCCGGCCUUCGGGCGGUUAUUUUUGGGCGCGGCUGUGUCCGCGGCCUAUUUUUGGCACAUGGAGGCGCCUCGCAAAGGCUCGCACAAUUCCAAGUCCGGCGGACGAAGUUGGCCAGCCCCAGCCCCCAAGGCUAUAGUCCACCCGUUUUUUUGGGCUUUUUCCGCUGGACGAACUUGGCGCCCCGGCCUUCGGGCGGUUAUUUUUCGGCUCGGCUGUGCCCGCGGCCUAUUUUUGGCACACGGAGGCGCCUCGCAAAGUCUCGCUCCAUUCCGAGUCCGGCGGACGAAGUUGGCCAGCCCCAACCCCCAAGGCUAUAGCCCACCCGUUUUUGUGGCCUUUUUCCGCUGGACGAACUUGGCGCCCCAGCCUGCGGCAGGUUAUUUUUGGGCACGGCUGUGGCCAUGGCCUAUUUUUGGCACACGGAGGCCCCUCAUAAAGUCUCGCGGCAUUCCGAGUCCGGCGGACGAAGUUGGCCAGCCCCACCCCCCAAGGCUAUAGCCCACCCGUUUUUGUGGCCUUUUUCCGCUGGACGAACUUGGCGCCCCGGCCUUCAGGAAGUUAUUUUUGGGCGCGGUUUUGUCCGCGGCCUAUUUUUGGCACGCGGAGGCGCCUCGCAAUGUGUCGCGCCAUUCCGAGUCCGCCGGACGAAAUUGGCCAGCCCCACCCCCCAAGGCUAUAGCCCACCCGUUUUUGUGGGCUUUUUCCGCUCGACGAACUUGGCGCCCCAGCCUUCGGGCGGUUAUUUUUGGGCGCGGCUGUGCCCGUGGCCUAUUUUUGGCUCACGGAGGCACCUCGCAAAGUCUCACGCCAUUCCGAGUCCGGCGGACGAAGUUGGCCAGCCCCACCCCCCAAGGCUAUAGCCCACCCGUUUUUGCGGGCUUUUUCCGCUGGACGAACUUGGCUCCCGGCCUUCGGGCGGUUAUUUUUUGCCGCGGCUGUGGCCGCGGCCUAUUUUUGGCACACGGAGGUGCCUCGCAAAGUCUCGCGCCAUUCCGAGUCCGGCGGACGAAGUGGGCCGGCCCCACCCCCCAAGGGUGUAGCCCACCCGUUUUUGUGGCCUUUUUCCGCUGGACGAACUUGGCGCCCCGGCCUUCGGGCGGUUAUUUUUGGCCGCGGCUCUGCUCGUGCCCUAAUUUUGGCACACAGAGGUGCCUCGCAAAGUCUCGAUCCAUUUCGAGUCCGGCGGACGAAGUUGGCCAGCCCCACCCCCCAAGGCUAUAGCCCACCCUUUUUUUGGGCUUUUUCCGCUGGAUGAACUUGGCGCCCCGGCCUUCGGGCGGUGAUUUUUGGGCGCGGCUGUUCCCACGGCCUAUUUAUGGCACACGGAGGUGCCUCACAAAGGUUCGCGCCAUUCCGAGUCCGGCGGACGAAGUCGGCCAGCCCCACCCCCCAAGGCUAUAGCCCACCCGUUUUUUUGGGCUUUUUCCGCUGGACGAACUUGGCGCCCCGGCCUUCGGGCUGUUAUUUUUGGGCUCGGCUGUGUCCGCGGCUUAUUUUUGGCACACGGAGGUGCCUCGCAAAGGCUCGCGCAAUUCCGAGUCCGGCGGACGAAGUUGGCCAGCCCCAGCCUCCAAGGCUAUAGCCCACCCGUUUUUUUGGGCUUUUUCCGCUGGACGAACUUGGUGCCCCGGCCUUCGGGCUGUUAUUUUUUGGUGCGGCUGUGCCCGCGGCCUAUUUUUGGCACACGGAGGCCCCUCUCAAAGUCUCGCGCCAUUCCGAGUCCGGCGGACGAAGUGGGCCAGCCCCAUCCCCCAAGGCUAUAGCCCACCCGUUUUUGUCGCCUUUUUCCGCUGGACGAACUGGGCGCUCCAGCCUUCGGGAUGUUAUUUUUGGGCGCGGCUGCGCCCGCGACCUAUUUUUGGCACAUGGAGGUGCCUCGCAAAGUCUCGCGCCAUUCCGAGUCCGGCGGACGAAGUUGGCCAGCCCCACCCCCCAAGGCUAUAGCCCACCCGUUUUUGUGGGCUUUUUCCGCUGGACGAACUUGGCCCCCCCGCCAUCGGACGGUUAUUUUUGGACGCGGCUGUGCCCGCGGCCUAUUUUUGGCACACGGAGGCACCUCGCAAAGUCUCGCGCCAUUCCGAGUCCGGCGGACGAAGUUGGCCAGCCCACCUCCCAAGGCUAUAGCCCACCCGUUUUUGUGGGCUUUUUCCGCUGGACGAACUUGGCGCUCCGGCCUUCGGGCUGUUAUUUUUGGGCGCGGCUGUGCCCGCGACCUAUUUUUGUCACACGGAGGUGCCUCGCAAAGUCUCGUACCAUUCCGAGUCCGGCGGACGAAGUUGGCCAGCCCAACCCCCCAAGGCUAUAGCCCACCCGUUUUUGUGGGCUUUUUCCGCUGGACGAACUUGGCGGCCCGGCCUUCGGGUAGUUAUUUUUGGGAUCGGCUUUGCCCGCGGCCUAUUUUUGGCACACGGAGGCGCCUUACAAAGUCUGGCGGCAUUCCGAGUCCGGCGGACAAAGUUGGCCAGCCCCAGCCCCCAAGGCUAUAGCCCACCCGUUUUUGUGGCCUUUUUCCGCUGGACGAACUUGGCGCCCCAGCCUGCGGCCGGUUAUUUUUGGGUACGGCUGUGCCCAUGGCCUAUUUUUGGCACACGGAGGCGCCUUGCAAAGUCUCGCGCCAGUCCGAGUCCGGCGGACGAAGUUGGCCAGCCCCACCCCCCAAGGCUAUAGCCCACCCAUUUUUGUGGCCUUUUUCCGCUGGACGAACUUGGCGCCCCGGCCUUCGGGCGGUUAAUUUUGGGCGCGGUUUUGUCCGCGGCCUAUUUUUGGCACACGGAGAUGCCUCGCAAAGUCUCGCGCCAUUCCGAGUCCGGCGGACGAAUUUGGCCAGCCCCACCCCCCAAGGCUGUAGCCCACCCGUUUUUGUGGCCUUUUUCCGCGGGACGAACUUGGCGCCCCGGCCUUCGGGCGGUUAUUUUUGGGUGCGGCUGUGACUGCGGCCUGUUUUUGGCACACGGAGGUGCCUCGCAAAGUCUCGCGCCAUUCCGAGUCCGGCGGACGAAGUUGGCCAGCACCACCCCCCAAGGCUAUAGCCCACCCGUUUUUGCGGGCUUUUUCCGCUGGUCGAACUUGGCCGCCCAGCCUUCGGGCGGUUAUUUUUGGCCGCGGCUGCGCCCGCGGCCUAUUUUUGGCACACGGAGGCAUCUCGCAAAGCCUCGCGCCAUUCCGUGUCCGGCGGACGAAGUUGGCCAGCCCCACCCCCCAAGGCUAUAGCCCACCCGUUUUUGCGGGCUUUUUCCGCUGGACGAACUUGGCGCCCCGGCCUUCGGUCGGUUAUUUUUGGGCGCGGCUGUGCCCGCGGCCUAUUUUUGGCACACGGAGUUGCCUCGCAAAGUCUCGCGCUAUUCCGAGUCCGGCGGACGAAGUUGCCCAGCCCCACCCCCCAAGGCUAUAGCCCACCCGCUUUUUGGCCUUUUUCCGCUGGACGAACUUGGCGCCCCGGCCUUCGGGCGGUUAUUUUUGGGCGCGGCUGUGCCCGAGGCCUAUUUUUGGCACACGGAGGUGCCUCCUAAAGUCUCGCGCCAUUCCAAGUCCGGCGGACGAAGUUGGCCAGCCCCACCCCCCAAGGCUAUAGCCCACCCGUUUUUUGGGACUUUUUCCGCUGGACGAACUUGGCGCUCCGGCCUUCGGGGGGUUAUUUUUGGGCACGGCUGUGCCCACACCCUAUUUUUGGCACACAAGGUGCCUCGCAAAGUCUCGCGCCAUUCUCAGUCCGGCGGACGAAGUUGGCCAGCCCCACCGCCCAAGUCUGUAGGCCACCCGUUUUUGUGGCCUUUUUCCGCUGGACGAACUUGGCGCCCCGGCCUUCGGACGGAUAUUUUUGGGCGCGGCUUUGUCCGCAGCCUAUUUUUGGCACACGGAGGCGCCUCACAAAGUCUCGCGCAAUUCCGAGUCCGGCGGACGAAGUUGGCCAGCCCCACCCCCCAAGGCUAUUGCCCACCCGUUUUUGCGGGCUUUUUCCGCUGGACGAACUUGGCGCCCCGGCCUUCGGGCGGUUAUUUUUGGGCUCGGUUGUGCCCGCGGCCUAUUUUUGGUACACGGAGGUGACUCUUAAAGUCUCGCGCCAUUCCGAGUCCGGCGGACGAAGUUGGCCCGCCCCACCCCCCAAGGCUAUAGCCCACCCGUUUUUGUGGCCUUUUUCCGCUGGACGAACUUGGCGACCCUGCCUUCGGGCAGAUAUUUUUGGGCGCGGCUGUGUCCGCGGCCUAUUUUUGGCACACGGAGGCGCCUCACAAAGUCUCGCGUAAUUCCGAGUCCGGCGGACGAAGUUGGCCAGCCCCACCCCCCAAGGCUAUAGCCCACCCGUUUUUGCGGGCUUUUUCCGCUGGACGAACUUGGCGCCCCGGCCUUCGGGCGGUUAUUUUUGGGCGCGGUUGUGCCCGCGGCCUAUUUUUGGUACACGGAGGUGACUCUUAAAGUCUCGCGCCAUUCCGAGUCCGGCGGACGAAGUUGGCCUGCCCCACCCCCCAAGGCUAUAGCCCACCAGUUUUUGUGGGCUUUUUCCGCUGGACGAACUUAGCGUCCCGGCCUUCGGGUGGUUAUUUUUGGGUGAGGCUUUGUCCGCGGCCUAUGUUUGGCACACGGAGGUGCCUCGUAAAGUCUCGUGCCAUUCCGAGUCCGGCGGACGAAGUUGGCCAGCCCCACCCCCCAAGGCUAUAGCCCACCAGUUUUUGUGGGCUUUUUCCGCUGGACGAACUUGGCGCCCCGGCCUUCGGGUGGUUAUUUUUGGGAGCGGCUUUGUCCGCAGCCUAUUUUUGGCACACGGAGGUGCCUCACAAAGUCUCGCGCAAUUCCGAGUCCGGCGGACGAAGUGGGCCAGCCUCACCCCCCAAGGCUAUAGCCCACCCGUUUUUGUGGGCUUUUUCCGCUGGAAGAACUUGGCGCCCCGGCCUACGGGCGGUUAUUUUUGGGUGCGGCUGCGGCCGCGGCCUAUUUUUGGCACACGGAGGCACUUCGCAAAGUCUCGCGCCAUUCUGAGUCCGGCGGACGAAGUUGGCCAGCCCCACCCCCCAAUGCUAUAGCCCACCCAUUUUUGUGGGCUUUUUCCGCUGGACGAACUUGGCGCCCCGGACUACGGGAGGUUAUUUUUAGGCGCGGCUGUGCCCGGGGCCUAUUUUUGGCACACAGAGGCACCUCGCAAAGUCUCGCGCGAUUCCGAGUCCGGCGGACGAAGUCGGCCUGCCCCACCCCCCAAGGCUAUAGCCCACCCAUUUUUGUGGGCUUUUUCCGCUGGACGAACUUGGCGUCCCGGCCUUCGGGCGGUUAUUUUUCGGCGCAGCUGUGCCCACGGCCUAUUUUUGGCACACGGAGGCACCUCGCAAAGUCUCGCGCCAUUCCGAGUCCGGCGGACGAAGUGGACCAGCCCCACCCCCCAAGGCUGUAACCCACCCGUUUUUGUGGGCUUUUUCCGCUGGACGAACUUGGCGCCCCGGCCUUCGGGCGGUUAUUUUUGGGCGCGGCUGUGCCCGCAGCCUAUUUUUGGCACACGGAGGCGCCUCACAAAGUCUCGCUCCAUUCCGAGUCCAGCGGACGAAGUUGGCCAGCCCAACCCCCCAAGGCUAUAGCCCACCCAUUUUUGUGGGCUUUUUCCGCGGGACGAAGUUGGCGCCCCGGCCUUCGGGCGGUUAUUUUUGGGAGCGGCUUUGUCCGUAGCCUAUUUUUGGCACACGGAGGCGCCUCACAAAGUCUCGCGCAAUUCCGAGUCCGGCGGACGAAGUAGGCCAGCCCCACCCCCCAAGGCUAUAGCCCACCCGUUUUUGUGGCCUUUUUCCGCGGGACGAAGUUGGCGCCCCGGCCUUCGGGCGGUUAUUUUUGGGAGCGGCUUUGUCCGUAGCCUAUUUUUGGCACACGGAGGCGCCUCACAAAGUCUCGCGCAAUUCCGAGUCCGGCGGACGAAGUAGGCCAGCCCCACCCCCCAAGGCUAUAGCCCACCCGUUUUUGUGGCCUUUUUCCGCUGGACGAACUUGGCGCCCCGGCCUUCGGGCAGUUAUUUUUGGACGCGGCUGUGCCCGCGGCCUAUUUUUGGCUCACGGAUGCACCUUGCAAACUCUGGCGGCAUUCCGAGUCCGGCGGACGAAGUUGGCCAGCCCCAACCCCCAAGGCUAUAGCCCACCCGUUUUUGUGGCCUUUUUCCGCUGGACGAACUUGGCGCCCCGGCCUUCGGGCGGUUAUUUUUGGGUGAGGCUUUGUCCGCGGCCUAUUUUUGGCAAACGGAGGUGCCUCGCAACGUCUCGUGCCAUUCCGAGUCCGGCGGACGCAGUUGGCCAGCCCCACCCCCCAUGGCUAUAGCCCACCAGUUUUUGUGGGCUUUUUCCGCUGGACGAACUUGGCGCCCCGGCCUACGGGUGGUUAUUUUUGUGCGUGCUGUGCCCGCGGCCUAGUUUUGGCACACGGAGGCACCUCGCAAAGUCUCGCGCCAUUCCGAGUCCGGCGGACGAAGUUGGCCAGCCCCACCCCCCAAGGCUAUAGCCCACCCAUUUUUGUGGGCUUUUUCCGCGGGACGAACUUGGCGCCCCGGCCUUCGGGAGGUUAUUUUUGGGUGUGGCUUUGUCCGUAGCCUAUUUUUGGCACACGGAGGCGCCUGACAAAGUCUCGCGCAAUUCCGAGUCCGGCGGACGAAGUGGGCCAGCCCCACCCCCCAAGGCUAUAGCCCACCCGUUUUUGUGGGCUUUUUCCGCUGGACGAACAUGGCGCCCCGGCCUUCGGCCGGUUAUUUUUGGGUGCGGCUGUACCCGCGGCCUAUUUUUAGCACAUGGAGGCACCUCGCAAAGUCUCACGCCAUUCCGAGUCUGGUGGACGAAGUUGGCCAGCCCCACCCCCCAAGGCUAUAGCCCACCCGUUUUUGUGGCCUUUUUCCGCUGGACGAACUUGGCGCCCCGGCCUUCGGGCGGUUAUUUUUGGACACAGCUGUCCCCGCGGCCUAUUUUUUGCUCACGGAUGUACCUUGCAAACUCUGGCGGCAUUCCGAGUCCGGCGGACGAAGUGGGCCAGCCCCAGCCACCAAGGCUAUUGCCCACCCGUUUUUGUGCCCUUUUUCCGCUGGACGAACUUGGCGCCCCGUCCUUCGGGUGGUUAUUUUUGGGCGCCGCUGUGCCCGCAACCUAUUUUUGGCACACAGAGGUGCCUUGCAAAGUCUCGCUCCAUUCCGAGUCCGGCGGACGAAGUUGGCCAGCCCCACCCCCCAAGGCUAUAGCCCACCCGUUUUUGUGGGCUUUUUCCGCUGGACGAACUUGGCCCCCCGGCCUUCGGCCGCUUAUUUUGGGGUGCGGCUGUACCCGCGGCCUAUUUUUAGCACAUGGAGGUGCCUCGCAAACUCUCGCGCCAUUCCGAGUCCGGCGGACGAAGUUGGCCAGCCCACCCCCCAAGGCUAUAGCCCACCCGUUUUUGUGGCCUUUUUCCGCUAGACGAACUUGGCGCCCGGCCUUCGGGCAGAUAUUUCUGGACGCGGCUGUGCCCGCGGCCUAUUUUUGGCUCACGGAUGCACCUUGCAAAGUCUCGCGCCAUUCCGAGUCCGGCGGACGAAGUUGGCCAGCCCCACCCCCCAAGGCUAUAGCCCAUACAUUUUUGGGGGCUUUUUCCGCUGGACGAACUUGGCGCCCCGGCCUUCGGGUGGUUAUUUUUGGGAGCGGCUUUGUCCGCAGCCUAUUUUUGGCACACGGAGGCACCUCGCAAUGUCUCGCGCGAUUCCGAGUCCGGCGGACAAAGUCGGCCUGCCCCACCCCCCAAGGCUAUAGCCCACCCAUUUUUGUGGGCUUUUUCCGCUGGACGAACUUGGCGCCCCGGCCUUCGGGCGGUUAUUUUUGGGCGAGGCUUUGUCCGCGGCCUAUUUUUGGCACACGGAGGUGCCUCGUAAAGUCUCGUGCCAUUCCGAGUCCGGCGGACGAAGUUGGCCAGCCCCACCCCCCAAGGCUAUAGCCCACCCGUUUUUGUGGCCUUUUUCCGCUGGACGAACUUGGCGCCCCAGCCUUCGGGCGGUUAUUUUUGUGCACGGCUGCGCCCGCGGCCUAUUUUUGGACCACGGAGGCACCUCGCAAAGUCUCGCGCCAUUCCGAGUCCGGCGGACGGACUUGGCCAGCCCCACCCCCCAAGGCUAUAGCCCACCCGUUUUUGUGGCCUUUUUCCGCUGGACGAACUUGGCGCCCCGGCCUUCGGCUGGUUAUUUUUGGGCGCGGCUGUACCCGUGGCCUAUUUUUGGCACAUGGAGGCGCCUCGCAAAGUCUCGCGCCAUUCCGAGUCCGGCGGACGAAGUCGGCCAGCCCCACCCCCCAAGGCUAUAGCCCACCCGUUUUUGUGGCCUUUUUCCGCUGGAAGAACUUGGCGCCCCGGCCUUCGGGUGGUUAUUUUUGUGCGCGGCUGUGCCCACGGCCUAGUUUUGGCACACGGAGGUGCCUUGCAAAGUCUCGCGCCAUUCCGAGUCCGGCAGACGAAGUUGGCCAGCCCCACCCCCGAAGGCUAUAGCCCACCCAUUUUUGUGGCCUUUUUCCGCUGGACGAACUUAGCGCCCCGGCCUUCGGGCGGUUAUUUUUCGGCGCGGUUUUGUCCGCGGCCUAUUUUUGGCACACGGAGGCGCCUCAUAAAGUCUCGCGCCAUUCCGAGUCCGGCGAAGGAAGUCGGACAGCCCCACCCCCCAAGGCUAUAACCCACCCGUUUUUUUGGGCUUUUUCCGGCGGACGAACUUGGCGCCCCGGCCUUCGGGCGGUUAUUUUUGGGUGUGGCUGUGCCCACGGCCUAUUUUUGGCACACGGAGGCGCCUCGCAAAGUCUCGCUCCAUUCCGAGUCCGGCGGACGAAGUUGGCCAGCCCCACCCCCCAAGGCUAUUGCCCACCCGUUUUUAUGGCCUUUUUCCGCUGGACGAACUUGGCGCCCCGGCCUUCGGGUGGUUAUUUUUGUGCGCGGCUGUGCCCACGGCCUAGUUUUGGCACACGGAGGUGCCUCGCAAAGUCUCGCGCCAUUCCGAGUCCGGCGGACGAAGUUUGCCAGCCCCACCCCCCAAGGCUAUAGCCCACCCGUUUUUGUGGACUUUUUCCGCUGGACGAACUUGGCGCCCCGGCCUUCGGGUGGUUAUUUUUGUGUGCGGCUGUGCCCACGGCCUAGUUUUGGCACACGGAGGUGCCUCGCAAAGGCUCGCGCCAUUCCGAGUCCGGCGGACGAAGUUGGCCAGCCACACCCCCCAAGGCUAUAGCCCACCCGUUUUUGUGGCCUUUUUCUGAUGGACGAACUUGGCGCCCCGGCCUUCGGGCAGUUAUUUUUGGGCGCGCNNNNNNNNNNNNNNNNNNNNNNNNNNNNNNNNNNNNNNNNNNNNNNNNNNNNNNNNNNNNNNNNNNNNNNNNNNNNNNNNNNNNNNNNNNNNNNNNNNNNGCGCCAUUCCGAGUCCGGCGGAUGAUGUGAGCCAGCCCCACCCCCCAAGGCUAUAGCCCACCCAUUUUUGUGGCCUUUUUCCGCUGGACGAACUUGGCGCCCCGGCCUUCGGGCGGUUAUUUUUCGGCGCGGUUUUGUCCGCGGCCUAUUUUUGGCACACGGAGGCACCUCGUAAAGUCUCGCGCCAUUCCGAGUCCGGCGAAGGAAGUCGGCCAGCCCCACCCCCNNNNNNNNNNNNNNNNNNNNNNNNNNNNNNNNNNNNNNNNNNNNNNNNNNNNNNNNNNNNNNNNNNNNNNNNNNNNNNNNNNNNNNNNNNNNNNNNNNNNUAGCCCACCCAUUUUUGUGGGCUUUUUCCGGCGGACGAACUUGGCGCCCCGGCCUUGGGGCAGUUAUUUUUGGGCGCGGCUGUGCCCGCGGCCUAUUUUUGGCAGACGGAGGCGCCUCGCAAAGUCUCGCUCCAUUCCGAGUCCGGCGGACGAAGUUGGCCAGCCCCACCCCCCAAGGUUAUAGCCCACCCGUUUUUAUGGCCUUUUUCCGCUGGACGAACUUGGCGCCCCGGCCUUCGGGUGGUUAUUUUUGUGCGCGGCUGUGCCCACGGCCUAGUUUUGGCACACGGAGGUGUCUCGCAAAGUCUCGCGCCAUUCCGAGUCCGGCGGACGAAGUUCGCCAGCCCCACCCCCCAAGGCUAUAGCCCACCCGUUUUUGUGGCCUUUUUCCGCUGGACGUACUUGGCGCCCCAGCCUUCGGGCGGUUAUUUUUGUGCGCGGCUGCACCCGCGGCCUAUUUUUGGACCACGGAGGCACCUCGCAAAGUCUCACGCCAUUCCGAGUCCGGCGGACGAAGUUGGCCAGCCCCACCCCCCAAGGCUAUAGACCACCCGUUUUUGUGGGCUUUUUCCGCUGGACGAACUUGGCGCCCCGGCCUUCGGCUGGUUAUUUUUUGGCGCGGCUGUACCCACGGCCUAUUUUUGGCACAUGGAGGCGCCUCGCAAAGUCUCGCGCCAUUCCGAGUCCGGCGGACGAAGUCGGCCAGCCCCACCUCCCAAGGCUAUAGCCCACCCGUUUUUGUGGCCUUUUUCUGAUGGACGAACUUGGCGCCCCGGCCUACGGGUGGUUAUUUUUGGGCGCGACAGUGCCCAUGGCCUAUUUUUGGCACACGGAGGCACCUUGCAAAGUCUCGCGCCAUUCCGAGUCCGGCAGACGAAGUUGGCCAGCCCCACCCCCGAAGGCUAUAGCCCACCCAUUUUUGUGGCCUUUUUCCGCUGGACGAACUUGGCGCCCCGGCCUUCGGGCGGUUAUUUUUCGGCGCGGUUUUGUCCGCGGCCUAUUUUUGGCACACGGAGGCGCCUCGUAAAGUCUCGCGCCAUUCCGUGUCCGGCGAAGGAAGUCGGCCAGCCCCACCCCCCAAGGCUAUAGCCCACCCGUUUUUUUGGGCUUUUUCCGGCGGACGAACUUGGCGCCCCGGCCUUCGGGCGGUUAUUUUUGGGCACGGCUGUGCCUGCGGCCUAUUUUUGGCACACGGAGGCACCUCGCAAAGUCUCGCUCCAUUCCGAGUCCGGCGGACGAAGUCGGCCAGCCCCACCCCCCAAGGUUAUAGCCUACCCGUUUUUAUGGCCUUUUUCCGCUGGACGAACUUGGCGCCCCG
rnacentral:lncRNA from 1 species